rnacentral:lncRNA from 1 species
AUCCAUAGUGUUCAGCAAACAUUUAUUAAAUGUUUUAGUCAGUUUUUUUGUGUGUGUCACUGUGACCAAAAGACCUGACAAGAACAAUGUAGAGGAGGAAAAGUUUAUUAGGCUCCCAGUUUCAGAGGUCUCAGUCCAUGGUCAGCUGACUCCAUACCUCUGGACCUGAAGUGAGUUAGAACGUCAUGGCUGAAAGGUGUGGUGGAGGAAGGAAGUUCAGGACUUGGCAACCAGGAAACAAAGAGAGAGACCUCCCUCCUCCAGCCACACCCUACCUACCUACAGUAACCACCCUAUUAAUCCAUAUGAGUGGAUUAAUCCACUGAUUAGUUUAUACCUGUCAUAAUCUAAUCAUUUCACCUCUGAAAAUUUUCUUUGUCUCACACCUGAGCUUUUGGGAGACACCUCACAUCUAAACCAUAACACUAAACCCUAUCUGACUCUGGCAAGCGAAGGAAAUUUCAAGAAAGUCUGUAUCUCCUUAAGGUUUGCUUUUUAAGGUAGAGGGGACUCCUCCACCAAGUUCUGUGGAUUACAAUACUGUCCUUCAGUUCCAAGCUCACUCUUCUAUGCUCUGCUUUGUGUUGCUGAGCUGCGAUUCUCAAAACAAAAUCUUUCCUUCAGUAGCUGGUUUUCCACUAGGUGUGUCCAUAGCGGGGCUUCCAGACAGAGAAGGAGAAAUAGGAGGGAAGAAGGAGCUUCCUUUCAGUUUGUUUCUGUCCGUGUCACCUCAGUAAUGGGUUUGCAAUGGUUAGUUUUAGUCUUCAUAUUUCUUAAGUCCCCCAAGAGCCAUCUCAUGAAGCCCCCCAAUGGCAGCAGCAGCUGCCGCAUAGCAGACCCCUCUGAGAGGCCUGACUUCCCAGCUAAUUCCUCCCAGGUUAGCCUGCCCUCCCCGGGAGCAGGCUGAGAGCUGGCCCUAAUCAGACAGCUCUAGAGGCCAAAAUUUCCCAUUGGCCGGGAAGCCUGGGGUUCAAGGUGUUCAGUUUCUUGGGAAUCUACCAGAAUCCCAGAGUUCCCCUCUGUCAAACCAUGUUUUCACAUAAGGUUCGACCUACAUUGUAAUUCGGUGACCCUCUUUUUGUGAGACUGGCCUUAUGGCUAUAGAAAUGUGAAGGGUCAUUUUAGGGCUGCCAUAGAAUAUCUCUGAUUCUCUGGGGCUUGGAUUUGAACUGGUUUUAUCCUUUCUGCAACUGCACAGCUGGCUAAGGCCACCCCCUCCAAGGCUUUGUGUGAAUACAGUGUAACCUAGGGAUGGUAAAAAUUCAUGCCUGUUGUCCUUUUCCCUUUCAAUGCAUAUAUGAAAUUUCCAACGUCCCCUAAGCCCCCUGUCUCAGUAGACAUUUCCUCCCUGGUGAUCACUAUGACGGCUGAAUUUUGCUAUGUCUUUGCAUGCAGUGGGGCACUAGGGUAGUGUUUGCCACUGACUGAGGACUGAGCCCAGUACACAAGGUCAAGGGCAUAAUCAAAUCCAUCCCUGAAACCAACCCCAAAGGGGCUUUCCCAGUACCCGGCACUGUUAUCAGAGUUCAGUCCGAAAAAUGGAAACUGCACAAGGAAUUCAGCAGAGGGAAUUGAUACAGGGAGUUGAGUGUCGGAGGGCUGAAUGAGCUUAGGGGAAACCGAGGUAACAGCAGGAAGCACACCACCUCCAAACCUGGAGGACCCCAAGGUGAGAAGCUGAGAUUAUCAAACCCUAGAAGGACAGGAGGGGGCCUGGGGGGUGGAGCUCAGACCCCAUGUCUGUGGUGGUUCCCAGACUUUCCUGAUGUUUGGCGAUCUUGACAAUUUGGGGGAGGAUCAGUCAACUCUUUUGCAGGAUGCCCCCCUACUGGAAUUUGUCCCCCCACUGCACUGGGACUGUGGGCUUGGGAAGAAUGAUCCCAUCACAGGGGAGAAUCCUCAGCCUGCUGUUGACCUCAGUCCCCUGGCUGAGGCAGUGUCUGUCAGGUUUCUCCAUCGGAGUUACUCCUUCCCUCCCUCCCUGUUUCCCUACUGUCCUCUGGGGAGCAGGUCACCGUGGUGGUGUGCUUCAGAAGUGGGGAGUUCAUUCACUAUGCCUUCUUGAGGGUGGGGGGACCCACGUAAAUUAUUUGGGAUUCUUUCUGUGCCCCCCCCCACUCAUCCAUUGACCUAGUUAGUCAUUUAUAUCAAUAUGGACUCAUGGAUAUUUAUUGUGUGCUUUGGGUUAUAAUCCAGUACUACCUCAUUGAUUUUGUUGCUCAUAUUUUUCCAGCUUUGUCCGGUGGGAGCUCUUUCAGUUGGCUCCUGUGUCUGUCUGACACACCCUAAAUAAAUAUAGGGUGUGUGUGUGUGUGUGUGUGUGUGUCCGCGCGCGCGUGCGCAUGCAUUUGAGCAUUUCUUUACUUUGGGGAACUAAAAGCAACUCUAGGCUCAUUUGGUGUAUUUGCUGUCCCAGUCCUAGAAUUGGCCAUUUCUCUAGGAAGCAGCAGGGUUGUCUUAGAAUCUGGACUCCCGGACGGACGCGUUGACCCAGCGUGCUGCUUUGGACACAAAUAGCCCAGGAAGGACUGUUGGGCUAAACAUAUGGUAUUUAUAAAGUCCUUGGAAUCUGCACAUUCUUAACACAGGCCAGAGGACACCAGCUAACAGAACUAUCCAGAAUGAGUGGCCAUGGGGAAAGAAGAAAUUUUGGGGAGAAAAGAGGCCUAUUUCAGCAGAGGGAAACCUCCCUAAUGACCAAGAUCCUGGGCUUGAACAUGGCCAUAGGAAAUCCUUCUAUUUCAGAUCUUUUAUGUUAUUUCCAAAGUAGUCAUAUACUGACAGGUUUGAAAGAAUUUAUUCAAAAUACAGCUUUAUACCUGUGUCCCAUCACUUAAGUGCCCUAUGAAUGAUCACUUUGUAUGAGCCCUGUGAUUAGCUUGAAGCUAGAACAAUUAUAUUGCAUUAACUCUUUUGUGUUAAAACAUCAACUUGUUAAUGAUAAACAUUUCAAUGAACUACAAUUUUUAUAACUUAACCUAUAUUGGCAUUUCUUCAUUUUGAAAUUACCCAGGGACUCAGAAAACGGAGGUAAUCCAAACCUCUCUAGGACACAGAGGCCCUUGUAUAUGGAUUUUUCUCUGCUUCUGACAGAAUCGGUUUGCUUACAUCUGUGCAGACGAGAACACAAUUACUGUAAAGUAGGGGAACCCACGUCGGCUUUGGACGCUUGUGUUUGUUCUGCAAAGGGCAGCAUCGCGUAUCUUAGGCGGUAUCUUGAAAGCUUCGCUGUCUCAGAAGCCUGCUUGCAUUAAACAUGAGAAACGGGUAAGUGUGAUUGCCACAGGGAUUCGCAGGCAGCUCCUCGCAGCAGGAUGAGCUCAGCUUGCUGGGCUGAGAAGGGCCUUGGCCAGGCGAGGCCCUGCCGCACUGGGCCAAAGCUGGUGUGGAUUUGGACUGCAGGUGAAUCUGAUCUUGUGCUUUCCAUUCCUUGACUGAUUGAUUGCUUUUUCUCCUUAACAUCCCAUGAGGAGUCCUUGGCGUGCUGUGAGGACAUGCUCUGCUGCGUGAGGGAAGAGAAAACCUCUCCUGGAAGGAAGAAGAGAAACAGAAAGCUAGGAUGGGGGAGAAACAAGAAAGGAGAAACAUGAAAAGAUCUGGAAGGAAGAAGGGGAGUCAAAAACAGGCUGAAGAAGGAUCAGAGGAGACCCAGCCCCCCAUUCUCCCUGCUGAUCGGAUCUUUGCCUCCCAAACUUCCACAUCCUGCAGGCUUCUGCCCAGUUGCUGGGCCCUGCCUCCUCUCCCCCUCUCUCCCCACUGCAUCCCUCUGCAUCCCCACCCAACUCCACCCUUUCUUCGGGAAGAACAUAGGGUCCCCCAGGAGCUCCAUGGACUUGGAACACAGGUCCAUCUCAUUGCAGGCCCCACUCUGACCUUCGGCACUGGACUUAGUAAUUAAGAAUUUGAGGGCUGGGGCUGGGGCUGGGGUUCAGUGGCAGAGCACUUUCCUGGCAUGUGUGAGGCCCUGGGUUGGAUCCUCAGCACCACAUAAAAAUAAAAUAAAUGAAAUAAAGGUAUUAUGAACAUCUA